rnacentral:rRNA from 1 species
AUUGAACGCUGGCGGCAUGCUUUACACAUGCAAGUCGAACGGCAGCGCGGGCUUCGGCCUGGCGGCGAGUGGCGAACGGGUGAGUAAUGCAUCGGAACGUGCCCAGUAGUGGGGGAUAGCCCGGCGAAAGCCGGAUUAAUACCGCAUACGACCUGAGGGUGAAAGCGGGGGACCGAAAGGCCUCGCGCUAUUGGAGCGGCCGAUGUCGGAUUAGCUAGUUGGUGGGGUAAAGGCUUACCAAGGCGACGAUCCGUAGCUGGUCUGAGAGGACGACCAGCCACACGGGGCUGGGGACCCGGCCCAACCCCCUAGGGGGGGCAGCAGUGGGGAAUUUUGGAAAAUGGGGGCAACCCUGACCCAGCCAUGCCGGGUGGGGAAAGAAGGCCUUGGGGUUGUAAACCGUUUUUGUUGGGGAAGAAACCCUUUGGGCUAAUACCCCGGGGGGAUGACGGAACCGGAAGAAAAAGCACCGGCUAACUACGU